UCGCUCUUAUUGUUUAUUGUA
ensembl:piRNA 21ur-9471 ncRNA